AUUGAACGCUGGCGGCAGGCCUAACACAUGCAAGUCGAGCGGAUGAAGAGAGCUUGCUCUCUGAUUUAGCGGCGGACGGGUGAGUAAUGCCUAGGAAUCUGCCUGGUAGUGGGGGAUAACGUUCCGAAAGGAACGCUAAUACCGCAUACGUCCUACGGGAGAAAGCAGGGGACCUUCGGGCCUUGCGCUAUCAGAUGAGCCUAGGUCGGAUUAGCUAGUUGGUGAGGUAAUGGCUCACCAAGGCGACGAUCCGUAACUGGUCUGAGAGGAUGAUCAGUCACACUGGAACUGAGACAAGGUCCAGACUCCUACGGGGGGCAGCAGUGGGGAAUAUUGGACAAUGGGCGAAAGCCUGAUCCAGCCAUGCCGCGUGUGUGAAGAAGGUCUUCGGAUUGUAAAGCACUUUAAGUUGGGAGGAAGGGCAGUAAGUUAAUACCUUGCUGUUUUGACGUUACCGACAGAAUAAGCACCGGCUAACUUCGUGCCAGCCGCCGCAGUAAUAC
rnacentral:rRNA from 1 species